GACGAACGCUGGCGGCGUGCUUAACACAUGCAAGUCGAACGAGGCCCUGCCUUCGGGCAGGUGACCUAAUGGCGAACGGGUGAGUAACACGUGGGCAACCUACCCUCAGCUCUGGGAUAACCCCGGGAAACCGGAGCUAAUACCGGAUACGACCAGGAGCGACAUCGCUUCCUGGUGGAAAGUUUUUCGGCUGAGGAUGGGCCCGCGGCCUAUCAGCUUGUUGGUGGGGUAAUGGCCUACCAAGGCGACGACGGGUAGCCGGCCUGAGAGGGCGACCGGCCACACUGGGACUGAGACACGGCCCAGACUCCUACGGGAGGCAGCAGUGGGGAAUAUUGCGCAAUGGGCGAAAGCCUGACGCAGCGACGCCGCGUGAGGGAUGAAGGCCUUCGGGUUGUAAACCUCUUUCAGCAGGGACGAAGCGAAAGUGACGGUACCUGCAGAAGAAGCACCGGCCAACUACGUGCCAGCAGCCGCAGUAAAAC
rnacentral:rRNA from 1 species